rnacentral:rRNA from 1 species
CUGCCGGCGACCGGCGCACGGGUGAGUAACACGUAUGCGACCUGCCCCCGCAGGGGGAUAACCGGGAGAAAUCCCGACUAAUACCGCGUAACGCCGCGGACCUGCAUGGGUCUGCGGCCAAAGGAAGCGAUUCCGGCGGGGGAUGGGCAUGCGGCGCAUUAGCUAGUCGGCGGGGUAACGGCCCACCGAGGCGACGAUGCGUAGGGGUUCUGAGAGGAAGGUCCCCCACACUGGUACUGAGACACGGACCAGACUCCUACGGGAGGCAGCAG